CCUACGAGUGGCUGCAGUGGGGGAUAUUGCACAAUGGGGGGAACCCUGAUGCAGCGACGCCGCGUGGGUGAAGGAGCGUUUCGGCGCGUAAAGCCCUAUCGGCAGGGAAGAAGGAGGACGGUACCUGACUAAGAAGCCCCGGCUAACUACGUGCCAGCAGCCGCGGUAAUACGUAGGGGGCAAGCGUUAUCCGGCUUUACUGGGUGUAAAGGGGGCGCAGACGGCAGCGCAAGCCAGGAGUGAAAGCCCGGGGCCCAACCCCGGGACUGUUCUUGGAACUGCGCGGCGGGAGUGCAGGAGGGGCAGGCGGAAUUCCUGGUGUAGCGGUGAAAUGCGUAGAUAUCAGGAGGAACACCAGUGGCGAAGGCGGCUUACUGGACUGUAACUGACGUUGAGGCUCGAAAGCGUGGGGAGCAAACAGGAUUAGAUACCCGUGUAGUC
rnacentral:rRNA from 1 species